ACUCAACCUGCUUCGUAGGGCGGGUCUUGGCGUGGCCAUAAUAGGAUUUGUAAAUUUGCUUCCUGGAUGGGAGAGAAACGUGCUCUGGUUUAUUGGCAUUUCUCUAAACCAAUCACAAUCCUCUUUGGCGGUGCUACGCUCCGAACGGAGCCACGGUGCCUCUGCUAAAU